GACGAACGCUGGCGGCGUGCUUAACACAUGCAAGUCGAACGCUGAAGCUCAGCUUUUGUGGGGUGGAUGAGUGGCGAACGGGUGAGUAACACGUGAGUAACCUGCCCCCUUCUUUGGGAUAACGCCAGGAAACGGGUGCUAAUACUGGAUAUUAACUGGUCUUCGCUUGGGGGUUGGUGGAAAGGGCGUUUCUGGUGGGGGAUGCGCUCGCGGCCUAUCAGCUUGUUGGUGGGGUGAUGGCCUAGCAAGGCUUUGACGGGUAGCCGGCCUGGUAGGGUGCCCGGUCACGUUGGCGCUCAGAUUCGGCCCGGGCUCCUGCGGAGGGCACCAGUGGGGACUAUUGCACAAUGUGCUCCACCCUGAUGCGGCGCCGCCUCGUGCGGGGUUGCGUCCUUCGUGUUGUGAACCUCUUUCUCUCAUGCUCUAGCCUCAACCAUGGUUGUAGUGAGGGUAGUGGGUAAAGAAGCGCCGGCUAACUACGUG
rnacentral:rRNA from 1 species